CAUCGCCACGGUAAUACGUAGGUGGCAAGCGUUGUCCGGAAUUAUUGGGCGUAAAGGGCUCGCAGGCGGUUUCUUAAGUCUGAUGUGAAAGCCCCCGGCUCAACCGGGGAGGGUCAUUGGAAACUGGGAAACUUGAGUGCAGAAGAGGAGAGUGGAAUUCCACGUGUAGCGGUGAAAUGCGUAGAGAUGUGGAGGAACACCAGUGGCGAAGGCGACUCUCUGGUCUGUAACUGACGCUGAGGAGCGAAAGCGUGGGGAGCGAACAGGAUUAGAUACCCCGUAGUCCCUGUCUCUUAUACAC
rnacentral:rRNA from 1 species